UGGCGACCGGCGCACGGGUGAGUAACACGUAUCCAACCUGCCGAUGACUCGGGGAUAGCCUUUCGAAAGGAAGAUUAAUACCCGAUGGCAUAGUUCUUCCGCAUGGUAGAACUAUUAAAGAAUUUCGGUCAUCGAUGGGGAUGCGUUCCAUUAGCUUGUUGGCGGGGUAACGGCCCACCAAGGCAUCGAUGGAUAGGGGUUCUGAGAGGAAGGUCCCCCACAUUGGAACUGAGACACGGGCCAGACUCCUACGGGAGGCAGCAG
rnacentral:rRNA from 1 species